GGAACUGUAGCUCAGAGUGUAGAGCGUCUGGCUCAUAACCAGGUGGUCGAAGGUUCGAGUCCUUCCGGUUCCA
rnacentral:tRNA from 1 species